rnacentral:lncRNA from 1 species
AUUUCUGCACACAGAGGCUCCUGGACCUUAUCAUAACCAUCAUUGGAUGUCCGCUCAGGGGAUCCUUCAUCUUCUCUCCAAAUGUCAUUUCUUAGAUGCUGACUCCAGAGCCCCUGGUGAUAACUCAAGUUUAUUCCUUAUCAGAUGCACCCAGCUGUAGACACAAUACCUGGAGACUGGCUUAGGUAGAUUUUUUUUUUUCUCCAACAAAAGUUUGCAGACGGAAAGACGUGUAUGAAAAUGCUCUGCAGUGGAGGGGCUAUCGAGAGAUGAUUUUUAAUCGUCUAAAGCGAAGAGCAGCACUUGGAAGAAGGCGUCUCUCUUGCACAUUUCCCUUUGCACUGGCUGCAUGGGAAGCCACAGGACUAGUGAUGUCGAGAAACUCACCUUCAGCAAGUGUGAAACUCGUAUGUGCUCUAAGGGACCUGAGGAAAUGAACAUUUCUUCAAAUAAACCAUAACUCAACGGAUCAGAAUGAUCCAUUAGCCUGAUUUUUGCCUGCUUGUUGCAUAUUUAGGAAGCAGAGCUCAACCUCAGGGAAAACAGGUCGUGUUAGGGGCUGCUGUAAGAAAUCAUGUCGAAUGUAUUUCCCCAGGUUGGUGUUUAUGGUGUAGACUCCCGCUCCACAUGUAAUUUAAAGGUUGAUGAGAUUUAUAUUGGGAAUGACAAGGCAAGGUACUGGAUCAUCUGAAAUCAUUAAAGGGAUGUUGGUGUGGGCUCACUGACUUCUGUUUAUGGAGACAAGGAAUAAGGAAACAAGCUCAUAUUUUAUAUAAAGAAUUUCACAAGCCAAUGGGAACAAUUCAGUAAUGCUUCUUUAGCCAAGGCGCUAUGACUUGAAUACCCGGCUCUAUUAAGCUUAUAAGAAAUCAAAGUUCAGGAGAGAAGUUAGAGCUUUGCUGCACCACACAACUCUGGAAGCUCCUGGAAUAUUUUCUUAGAAGAAGGAGAAGGAAGAGGAGGAAGAGGCAAAGCAAAACUAAAGUACAGUCGGUAGCCUUUGCAGUGCAGGAGCCCACAGUUGUGAUGUGCAGAUCUGGCUUCUCCAGGGGCGGGGCUCAGGCACUUAUGAAUGAAUUGGCUUAGAAGCCUCUACUGUGAGGUUCUGGGUCUGUUUAUCAAACCCAUGCCGGAAACGUCGGAGUUGUUAAUAGCUUUGGAGUGAGACAUACCAGGGUUCAAACCUUAAUUACAUCAGCUGCUAGCUGGGUAACCUUGGCAAGUUACCUAAACUAAGCUGGGUAACCUUGGCAAGUUGUCUAAAUGAAGCUGACCUCUGUCAACCUAAAUAACAAAGAAGGAAACUAUCUAAAGGACAAUGGUGUUUAUUCGGGCGUAGGCAUUAAGAUGGGCAUGUGUGUGCCAUGGUAAACUAAUUGCUUAUCCAGAGAAGUAAAAAGAGAUAAUUUUUUUUAAGAAAAUGAGGAUUGCAGAAUUGUUUUGAGAUAAUUAUCCUGGGCCACAAGGAUCAAUAACAAGGGUGAUGCCUGUCUGAGGCUGGACAGGCAGUUGCUGGCAGAUGUCCUGGCAGAAGUGGUUUUUUGUGAAAAGUUGCAAUGCCUCACUCAUGAGAGCCCUCCCUCCAUGGCCUUCCCCAGCGUGUCAGGGUUUUAACACAGGGAACUCCAUUUGGAUUCUGAAAAUUUUCCCUCAUGAGGUUGCAUGAGGACUAAACGCAACAGUGGGUAUGAAGGGCUUGGCAUAGUACCUGGCUCGUGUGAAUUACUGGUUAGAGAAGAGAUGUAGGAAGUCAAAUAGGGUAAGUAAAAGAGGACUUGUUGAAGACUACUGGAUUCUUUGUAGUAUGAAUUCUUCUUUCUCCAACUUUGUAGCUUGGGACUUCUGUCUUGGCAAGUACAACACUUUGCAAUCCUCCUCACAGCUAGGAAGGGCACAGGACUAAAUUCUGACCAAUGGACAGGACUGCCUUAAAGGAGAGCGUAAAAGCUGCCCCCUGCUCGUCCUCCUGGCUGCUGUGCGGAAGUGCUGGCUGGCACCUGGGCAGCCAUUUUUUACCAUGAGGCAGAGCAGUGAGUGAGAUGAAAUGAAGGAGUCUGGGACCCUGAUGCCCGGGAAGCCAUCACCCCAGCCCAGCCCUACCACCUCCAGUCUCGUAGCUGUGUGGGGGAGAUACCCUUCAAUCUCCUAUAAGUCAUGGAUUUUUCCUGUUUGUUACAUUCAACCCAGCAAAAUUCUAGCUGAUAUUCAAGAUCCCCGAAUUAGGUAGUUCAGCUGAGCUCAGGAACUGGAAGAGCUGACGUAAGUGGUGAGGUGGAGGUGGCCUCAGGAAGAGGUGGAGCUGAUGAUGGACACCCUAGGAGAGGAGACACUGUGAGUUUCUCUUCCUGUCCAGAUGAACUCACUCCUGAUGCACUGGCCAUCUUGUUUUCUGAAAACUUCUUUCUCUUUGGUCCUAUUUUAGACUCAGAGCAGUUUGGGAGGCAACUGGUUUUAUUUGCACAGUUAUCACCUGUUCCAAUGAAGAAGAAACACAAAGAUGUGCUUCUGUGAUUUGAAAGUUUAUCCAGGAUUCAGGCUUUUUAGGAGUCUAUGAGGGUAUUGCUUGGCUGAAAUUCUCCACAUUGCCACUGGUUACUUAUUAUCGUUUCAUCCACAUCAGUGCUUCUCAAACUGCUGAGCAUUAGUGUCACCUGGGGAGCUUUAAAACAUUCUGAAGCCCAGCCCAUACCCCAGACCGGUUAGAUCACAAGUGGAGAAGCUGGGGCCCCAGCAUUGGCAGUUGUUAAAGCUCCCUGGGUGGACCCACCGUGCGGAAGGUGGGAGAAGCAGCAAACGCAAUUCUUAGUCUCUAAGUGUGGUCCCCAGGCCGGCAGCAGUGAGAGUUUGUUGGAAACACAGACUCUCAGGAGCUACUGAAUCGGAAUGUUGUGUCUUCCACAAGCUCCCAGGCCGUGUGCUUCGGUGCCAGGAAGAUCAGGCUGCAGGGGGCGUUGCGCUGGUUCCUGACAGGGACUCAUUCUUUCACCCAGGAUGAAGUGCGGUGGCAGGACCAUAGCUCACUGCAGCCUCAAUCAACUCCCGGAGCUCAAGCAAUCCUCCCACCUCAGCCUCCCAAGUAGCUGGGACCACAGAUGAAGGCUUCCUAUGUUGCCCAGGCUGGUCUCAAACGUCUGGCCUCCCGUCCUUAUGCGCCAGGACAACAGGACUGAGCCACCGCACCAUCCAAGUCUCUUGCUUUUUAAUAGCUUUCUUAUUUUUCUUUUAUUCAUCCAGGGGUUACUUUGUGAAUUUAAAUAAUUCACUUAAAAUAACAUUUUGAAAUUUAUCAACUUUAUCUACUGUUGUAUGAGAUAUGAGGAACUUAGCAAAUGGACUCAUUCUUCAUUUUCUUCUUCCUCUCUCUCCUGAUUUUUCCAAGUUAUGUUAUUAUUUUUAAAUUUCCAAAGCUUGUGUCAUUUAGAUUGUUCUAUAAAUAUAAUUAAGCAAUCAGUGGUUGUCUAAGUGUGGUUUCUUCUUAAAAUGUAUACUCAAUAAAUACAUUUCCAGUAUCAUGAAUAUAUAAAUACUUUUCACUCUAGGAAAAAUAAUAAAAAAAAGGUCUUGAUGUCCUAAGCCAUUAGGUUCUAAAAUGUGUCUUUUUGUUCAUGUAUAUUGUUAUAAAAGUGAAUAAAUGGGAUUUUUGAUACCAUGUAUAUGUGGAGAGUGUAGUGGAAAUGCUUUUGGUUGUGGUGGUGGUGGUGGUGGUGGGGUGGACAGGAAAGAUGGCCUCAUUUAUCUGCAUAAAAGCUGAUCAGUUAAAAGUUCCUGAAAAGAGAGCCUGAGUCCUGUGGGUGACACUGAAGUCUCCUCCACUUUCCUCUGCGGCUCUCAGGCCUCCCUCCCUUGGCCUCCUUGGCCUCCCUCUCCGGGCGGGUGGUCCACUCACGUAACUGCUCUCUUUACUUCUGUUCAAUCUCUUUUAUCUCAAUAACACUCUGUGCCUGCAUGCCACCUGGCUGAUCUUGAGAUCCUGUGACUCGAAGGCUUUCCUUCCCUUAUUUAAGGUGAGGGCUUAAACUUUGGAUCCUGACGUUUUGUAAAAGUAGAAACAUUUUUGUUGUAUUAAAAUAUACUUCAAGGCCAGGCAUGGUGGCUCACGCCUGUAAUCCCGGCACUUUGGUAGGCCAAAGCAGGCAGAUUGCCUGAGCUCAGGAUUUGCGACCAGCCUGGGCAACACGGCGAAA